rnacentral:rRNA from 1 species
UACGGUGGGGGGCAGGUGUUAUUCAUAUGGGACUGGGCGUUAAAGGGUUCGUAAGGUGUUCUCUCGAAUAAUACUAUUGGAUCUAGUUUUUAUUUUACUAUGUGUUUUUAUGGUAUUUUAUUUUAGAGAAUUGAGUAUAGUAUAAGAUUUCGGGUACACUUCAAUGGAGAGGUGAAAUUCGGAGAUAUUUGAUAGGGACCAUCUAUAGGUGUAGAGCACGAAUCUCAAACUAUAACUGACGCUGAGGGACGUAAAGCAUGGGGGAGCGAAUGGG